AGGAUGAACGCUGGCGGCGUGCCUAACACAUGCAAGUCGAACGUCCUGUCUCGCAAGAGGCAGGGAGUGGCGGACGGGUGAGUACCACGUGGGUUAUCUACCGUGAGGUGAGGAAUACCGGCGAGAAAUCGCCGACAAGACCGCAUAGCCUCGGUGCAAGCCGAGGAAAGCUUUCUCGAGAGAGGGAGCGCCACACGAGGAGCCUGCGCCCGAUUAGCUAGCUGGUGGAGUAACGGUUCACCAGGGCGACGAUCGGUAGCUGGUCUGAGAGGACGAUCAGCCACACUGGGAUUGAGAACGGCCCAGACUCCUACGGGGGGCAGCAGUGAGGAAUUUUCGUCAAUGGGGGCAACCCUGAACGAGCAACGCCGCGUGCAGGAAGAAGGUUUUCGGAUCGUAAACUGCUUUUCUCGGGAAGAGAACGGACGGUACCCGAGGAAUCAGCCCCGGCUAACUACGCGCCAGCAGCCGCGGUAA
rnacentral:rRNA from 1 species